ensembl:piRNA 21ur-10264 ncRNA
UUGAUGAUCGUAAAUUUGUUC